CAGUUUCAGAGAAACAAAACAUUACUCAAUCUCUUUCACAAAAACGAGACUUAGCACUGUGUCUGUCAGAAAGGCACAGAAAAAAUCUGUCUCUGCCAGAGAAACAAAGCUUAACUUUGUUAGUGUGAGCAGUGAAAUGGCUGAGGCUAAUAUCUCGGUGGAUCAGGACCAGUUCAGCUGUUCAAUCUGUCUGGAUAUCCUGAAGGAUCCGGUGACUAUUCACUGUGGACAUAGUUACUGUAUGGGCUGUAUUAAGGGCUGCUGGGAUCAGGAUGAUCAUAUUGGUGUCUACAGCUGUCCCCAGUGCAGACAGACCUUCACCCCAAGGCCUGUUCUGGGCAGAAACACCAUGCUGGCUGAAGUGGUGGAGAAACUGAAGAAGACAGGACUCCAAGCUGCUCCUCCUGCUCACUGUUACGCUGGACCUGGAGACGUGGCGUGUGAUUUCUGCACUGGGAGAAAGCACAAAGCCAUCAAGUCCUGUCUGGUGUGUCUGGCAUCUUUCUGUGAAACUCACCUCCAGCCUCACUAUGAAUCUCCUGCCUUUAAAAAGCACAAACUGGUCAAAGCCACUGGAAACCUGCAGGAGAAGAUCUGCUCUAAUCACGACAAACUGCUGGAGGUUUUCUGUCGUAGCGAUCAGCAGUGUAUCUGUAUGCUGUGUGCGAUGGAUGAACACAGAGGCCAUGAUACAGUCUCAGUGGUAGCAGAAAGGACUGAGAAACAGAAGCAGCUGGGGGUGACACAGAGUAAGUUCCAGCAGAGAAUCCAGGAGAGAGAGAAGGCGCUGCAGGAUCUGAGACAGGCUGUGCAGUCACUCAAGCGCUCUGCACAGACAGCAGUGGAGGACAGUGAGAGGAUCUUUACUGAGCUGAUCCGCUCCAUUGAGAGAAGGCGCUCUGAGGUGAAAGAGCUGAUCAGAGAUCAGGAGAAGGCUGAAGUGAGUCGGGCUGAAGGACUCCUGGAGCGACUGGAGCAGGAGAUUGCUGAGCUGAGGAGGAGAGAGGCUGAGCUGGAGCAGCUUUCACACACAGAGGAUCACAUCCAUUUCCUCCAGAGCUGUCAGUCCCUCUGUGCCCCUCCUGGACCUGGGGACUUACCCAGCAUCACUGUCAGUCCAAACGUCUCUUUUGAGGCUGUGAGGAAAUCUGUCUCUGAACUGAAAGAGCGACUGGAGGAUGUUUUCAAGGCGGAGUUCAAAGUUUGUGGAAGAGUGGAAGAAGUCUCUGUUCUAGAGCCCCAGACCAGACAGGACUUCUUACAAUAUGGCUGUCAGCUCACACUGGACCCCAACACAGCGCACAGAAACCUCCGUCUGUCUGAGGGGAACAGAGAGGUGACCUGGGUGGGACAGAUCCAGUCAUAUCCUGAUCAUCCAGAGAGAUUUGAGCGCUGGCCCCAAGUGUUGUGCAGAGAGGGUGUGUCUGGACGCUGUUACUGGGAGGCUGAGUGGAGUGUGGGUGGGGUUUCUAUAGCAGUGUCAUAUAAAGAGAUCAGCAGGAAAGGGGGGGGUAAUGACUGUGGAAUGGGACAUAAUAACAAGUCCUGGAGUUUGAUCUGCUCUCCCUACAGUUACUCUUUCAGGCACAAUAAUGUUGACACUAAAAUCCCUGUUCCCUCCUCCUCCAGAAUAGGAGUGUACCUGGAUCACAGGGCAGGAACUCUGUCCUUCUACAGCGUCUCUGACACAAUGACCCUCCUGCACAGAGUCCAGACCACAUUCACUCAGCCCCUCUAUCCUGGGUUUGGGGUUCAUUGUUAUGGAUCCUCUGUAAAACUGUGUGAUCUGGGAUGAGGCAGAGAGUGAAGGGAAGAUCAAAGAGAGGGAAACAUACUGAAAAUACUGUGAGAGAGAGAGGGUAAAAUAGGUGAACAAAAAAUGUUUUUGUUUGUUUUUAUAAGUGCCUUCAGGCCACAUCUCAAUAGUCCAGAACAAAAAAUUAUUCCUUUUUCAAAAAGAGGAAUAAAAUGAAGCGGCCAAAAAAUUAGGAACACCGGAAAGAAAAGAAAAAAAGAAAAAAUGUGGAAUUCACAGAAAUGUGGAAUAAAAAAUAACAGAAAUGUGGAAUAAAAAAUAACAGAAAUGUGGAAUAUAAAUGACAGAAAUGUGGAAUAAAAAAUAACAGAAAUGUGGAAUAAAAAAUAACAGAAAUGUGGAAUAAAAAAUAACAGAAAUGUGGAAUUCACGUGACCGCGUUCGUCCGCCGUUGUCAGUGCCUGGGCCGUCCAAUCCGCUCCUUUCCCUCAGAUGUCCCCCUUCUCCGCCUUGUCCCCGAUCGGGCCUCCACACCAUGGUAACCAGGUCUUAUGGGUUCUGUUCUGUACAUCGUGUGGGAAAUGUUGGGCUGAUGCCAAUAAAGCCAUUUGAAUUUGAAUUUGAGAGAGGGAGAGAUGGGGAGAGA